rnacentral:rRNA from 1 species
AUGACGAGACGCUGCUCGCCGCCGCUGGCUCCUCUUGCCCUGCUUCUCCUCCUCUGCUUCUCCUACGGCGCGGCGGCCGCUCGCCCCCUCCCCGCCAACACUGCUCCUCACCAAGGUAUCGCUGUGGCGAGAGCAAAGGCGGCAGAUGCUGCAACAACGGACGGCCUAGUGUCGCUCAAGGAGGAAGGUGGCAAGGCCCGCAAUGGCGGCGAGGCGGUGUCACCACCUGAGGCGACGGCGGAGGGGAUGGAGGUGGAGGCGGAGGAGGAGGCGUGCGAGGAGGGGAACGAGGGGGAGGAGUGCAUGCAGAGGAGGCUGCUCCACGACGCGCACCUGGACUACAUCUACACGCAGCACAAGGGCAGGCCAUGA